GAUGGAAGAACGUAGCGAAAUGCGAAAAGUAAUGUGAAUUGCAGAAUUCAGUGAAUCAUCGAAUCUUUGAACGCACAUUGCGCCCGCCAGUAUUCUGGCGGGCAUGCCUGUCUGAGCGUCAUUUCAACCCUCACGCCCCUAGGGCGUGGUGUUGGGGAUCGGCCAAGGCCCGCAAGGGACGGCCGGCCCCUAAAUCUAGUGGCGGACCCAUCGUGGCCUCCCCUGCGAAGUAGUAAUAUAUUCCGCAUCGGAUAGCGAUGAGCCCCUGCCGUUAAACCCCCAACUCUUUCAAGGUUGACCUCAGAUCAGGUAGGAAUACCCGCUGAACUUAAGCAUAUCAAUAAGCGGAGGA
rnacentral:misc_RNA from 1 species